GCCGGGCACGGUGGCACAUGCCUGUAAUCCCAGCAGCUCAGGAGGCUGAAGCAGGAGGAUCAUGAGUCAAAGCCAGCCUCAGGAACAGUGAGGUGCUAAGCAACUCAGUGAGAUUCUGUCUUUA
rnacentral:sRNA from 1 species